UCCUACAAAACUUGAAGAAGCUUUUCAAGGAACGAACACAGUUCCGCAACAGUGUCUUGACUGAGGACAACAUAGACACUAAAAGCACAAAUAAAUGGAAAAGGAGCUUCCUGAAGAACUUUAGGAAGUAUAUUGAGCAAAGAAAGCAGUUCCAGUACAGUGUCUUGUCUGAGGACGACACAGACGUGGAACAUGAUGACAUGACUGGGGCUGGAGAAGAGAUGGACACAUGGAAAGACCUUCGUGACAUGGAGGCAGAGAGACAGAGGGUCCAGAAAGAAGAGAAGGGACCCUGAUCACAAAGAAUUAAAAGCCCCAGCAAGACAAGGCAGAGAAAGGCGCUGCCACUUAUUUAUUUGUGAGGAUACAAUGGAGAUGGGACAGAUCGAUGGAGGCUUUAUUGAGGACUAAAGUACAGGGUAACAGAACCAAAAAGGACGGGGGGGGGGGGGUCACAAUGAAUGUUUCACUACUGACCUAAUCCUCAAAUGACAAAGAGGACGUGUAUAUAAGAAAAGAUAAUGUCUUUGUUAAGUAAAUGUCUUUUUCAUAUUAAAUAAAUGGCAUUUUCAUAUUAAAUAAA